GGCCAGUUAGCUCAGUCGGUUGAGUGUGGUGCUGAUAACGCCAAUGUCGCGGGUUUGACCCCCGUUCGGUCCC
rnacentral:tRNA from 1 species